rnacentral:rRNA from 1 species
CCUACGGGAGGCAGCAGUGGGGGAUAUUGCCCACUGGGUGAAACCCUGAUGCAGCGACGCCGCGUGGGUGAAGAAGCGCCUCGGCGCGUAAAGCCCUGUCAGCAGGGAAGAAAAUGACGGUACCUGAAGAAGAAGCCCCGGCUAACUACGUGCCAGCAGCCGCGGUAAUACGUAGGGGGCAAGCGUUAUCCGGAUUUACUGGGUGUAAAGGGGGCGCAGACGGCGAUGCAAGCCAGGAGUGAAAGCCCGGGGCCCAACCCCGGGACUGCUCUUGGAACUGCGUGGCUAGAGUGCAGGAGGGGCAGGCGGAAUUCGUGGUGUAGCGGUGAAAUGCGUAGAUAUCAGGAGGAACACCGGUGGCGAAGGUGGCCUGCUGGACUGCAACUGACGUUGAGGCCCGAAAGCGUGGGGAGCAAACAGGAUUAGAUACCCCAGUAGUC